GGCCUCUCAGGGUCACACCUGGAGAGUUUCCAGUCCUCUACCAGUCUCGACUACAGGAGGAAGAGUCAAGCAGAGGCAUAUCCACUCCAUUCUUAGCUUGGGCAGUGGCUAGCAAGUGGAAGGCAAUCUGCUACAAGU